rnacentral:rRNA from 1 species
GUGAGGAAUAUUGGACAAUGGAUGGAAAUCUGAUCCAGCCAUGCCGCGUGCAGGAAGACGGCCCUAUGGGUUGUAAACUGCUUUUAUACGGGAGCAAUAAGGUCUAUGCAUAGAUUGAUGAGAGUACCGUAUGAAUAAGCAUCGGCUAACUCCGUGCCAGCAGCCGCGGUAAUACGGAGGAUGCGAGCGUUAUCCGGAUUUAUUGGGUUUAAAGGGUGCGUAGGCGGCUUUGUAAGUCAGCGGUGAAAUUUUGCAGCUUAACUGUAAAAGCGCCGUUGAUACUGUGAAGCUAGGAUUUGGUUGCUGUGGGCGGAAUGUGUGGUGUAGCGGUGAAAUGCAUAGAGAUCACACAGAAUAUCGAUUGCGAAGGCAGCUCACAAAGCCAAUAUUGACGCUGAGGCACGAAAGUGUGGGGAUCAAACAGGAUUAGAUACCCGGGUAGUCC